GAGAAGAAUGGGGUUCAGUUGGGACAACAACAGAGGUCAUAUAGAAAUGGCUGGGUUGGGGAUCAAAGGACACGGUCAGCCUAUGAACUCAGGAAUUCCUUGGGUAGAUCUCUAUCUGUGGUUUGUCCUGAGGGCACCAUCAUGGCCAAUAUAAGUAAACCAGGUGUUUGUGGAUCCAUGUUGUCUCACCCGUCCUGUGUGUAAGUAUCACUCACUGGCAUGGAAUACAGGAGGGCUAUUCUUUACAGGGCUUUCGUGGGUUGGUUUCCAAUGGGAAUCACUGUGAUAGUCACUACCCAGUGGUUCUCCUUGCUCCUUAUUUCUGCUAAAAGGGGAUGUGUUCUCUCAGAGAAGUCAGCAACUGACUAAACCAAGUGACCACAGUCUGGGGUAGGCUCACAAAGGCCCAGUUCUGAUGAAUGCCCCCAUAAAUAAAAGGGUUACACUUUUUGCUGGCAUAAUUCCAAGAACUUGUGCUUUAUGGCUUCCUCUUAAACUAGUCAAAAGAAGCUGUUCCAUGCUUUAAUACCUAUGUACUAAGCUGGUUUCCCAGCCACUGUUUUGCUUUUGUUUUUUCCCAGAAAACUCGGAGGCCCCAGAGUAUAUGUAACAGAUUCAGUGCAUCCUUGGAAGACCUUUUCUACCUUCCCGAUUGUGACUUUUUUUCAUAGCUUCUCUGCAGUGCUUACCAUACAACCAAAUUAGUUCACUGAAUUGAGUAUGCUCUGUGUGAGAUGUGAGCAAAACAAAAGCUGCUGGGAACACAGCUGGAGAAGCCUGUGUGUGCAGUCCCUCAACACUGCCUUCUGAAGGCGCACCUCCUGCAGAGGUGUUGACGGGAAAGACGAGGAAGAGGGGAUAAUGUGACCUGCUUUCACCAGGAAGCUUCAGAUCAUUUCCCUUUGUCUCUGUGCCCCUUUGGGAGAUUUUGAUCCAAUUUGCUGUGGUGAGAAGAAGCUCUCAACAUUACAAGGGGGAAAAAAACCCAAAACUUUCAUUUUCCUCCUAAGAAAUGAAAUUUUAUUUCUGGAUGACAAGGGCUUUGGAAGGCCAUGGUGUGGUAAAUGAGUGAUCCUUUCAUAGCUGUUGAACAUCAGUAGACCACACAUCCAAAGUAUAGAGGCAGCUCUUAAAAUACCAGCCAAAGGAAGAAAUUUAGAGAGCAGAAUGUCUUUAAGGAACUAUGUGAAUGUUAUUGAUUCUUUCAAAUAAUGGUGUAACCUCUGUGAUAGAGCAACAAUCUUCAUGAGCUGUAUUUAUAAGGAACUGAGUUCAUGAAGACAGCACAGGGGGGUCUGGCGAUGCAGGGCCCUUUGUUAGCCAUUGUUCUAUUAUUAGUAUUGUUAGCAUUGCCCUGCACAAGUUAUCCACUUUUUCUCCAGUCCCCUGGAUAUUCAGCAGAAAUGCUUUAAGAAUGCCUGUAACUUACUCUCCUGCCUGGCAUCACCCAGGAGUUCAGGAGUGCAGUGACAGGAGGUUAACUGAGCUCUUGAAGAAAGAUGCUGUGGACAGAGAGGUAUAAGUCAGAGGAGUGACACUUUCCUUGAUGAUAGGAAAGAAGAAAGCUGAAAUCCCAAGUUGCUCUCUGACAUUUGCCAUCCACAUAAAUUGAUGAGAGAGUUCGUUAUUAAGGGCCUUUUUGUUUAAUUAGAAAUCAAACCAAAAG
rnacentral:lncRNA from 10 species